CGAUAGGUCCGAGGUGGAAGCGUGGCGACACGUGGAGCUGACGGAUACUAAUCGAUCGAGGACUUAACCAAA
rnacentral:rRNA from 1 species